UGAGGCUCAAGGAGAUAGAAGCUCUUGUUUGGGAAGUGAUGGAAGGGGUCCGUGGGAAGAAGAUGAGGGAGAAUGCCAGGAAGUGGAAAGAAAGAGCUGUGGAAGCCGCCGGUCGCGGAGGGUCAUUGGGCAAUGAUUUCAAUAGAUUCAUUAAGGAGGUUGUCCAUUUGAAUGAUUAGGUUAAAAACGAGUUAUCACCAUAUUCCCAUGUCUGCCAGAAAUAUAU